GGGUGCUUGAGGCUAUCUGUCUCAGGCAUGAACACCAAAAGGCAGAUAGAGAAAAGCCCCAGUUAACAUUACGCGUCCUGCAAGACGCUUAACAUUAAUCUGAGGCCAUAUCUAUGCGACACAUAGAGAUUAGCCUCUUACGGACCGAAAGGUUCAAGGAGAAGCAGGCUAUGAAG
rnacentral:antisense_RNA from 1 species